GCCGGGCGUUGUGGCGGGCGCCUGUGGUCCCAGCUACUUGGGAGGCUGAGGCAGGAGACUCAACUGAGCCCAGGAGUUGGAGGUUGCUGUGACUGUGAUGCCACGGCACUUUGCCCAGGGGGACAGCUUGAGGCUCCGUCUCAAAAAAAAAAAAAAAAUUAAGACAGAGUCAUUAAAUUAAUGUCACACUCUGUAGAGUGUUGUGAAGUCAUAGCUCACAGCAACCUCAAACUCUGGGGCUUAAGUGAUACUCUUGCC
rnacentral:sRNA from 1 species